CCCUUAGAUGUUCGGGGCCGCACGCGCGCUACACUGAAGGACUCAGCGUGUCUCUCCCCCUAUCCCGAAAGGGAUGGGCAACCCGUUGAACCUCCUUCGUACUAGGGAUUGGGGUUUGCAAUUAUCCCCCAUGAACGAGGAAUUCCCAGUAAGCGCGAGUCAUCAGCUCGCGUUGAUUACGUCCCUGCCCUUUGUACACACCGCCCGUCGCUACUACCGAUUGGAUGGUUUAGUGAGACCCUCGGAUCGGUCCCGACUCGGGGUGGGCUUCUGCCCCGGUCGUGGUUUCGCCGAGAAGACGGUCAAACUUGACUAUCUAGAGGAAGUAAAAGUCGUAACA
rnacentral:rRNA from 1 species